rnacentral:rRNA from 1 species
GACGAACGCUGGCGGCGUGCUUAACACAUGCAAGUCGAACGGAAAGGCCCUGCUUUUGUGGGGUGCUCGAGUGGCGAACGGGUGAGUAACACGUGAGUAACCUGCCCUUGACUUUGGGAUAACUUCAGGAAACUGGGGCUAAUACCGGAUAGGAGCUCCUGCUGCAUGGUGGGGGUUGGAAAGUUUCGGCGGUUGGGGAUGGACUCGCGGCUUAUCAGCUUGUUGGUGGGGUAGUGGCUUACCAAGGCUUUGACGGGUAGCCGGCCUGAGAGGGUGACCGGCCACAUUGGGACUGAGAUACGGCCCAGACUCCUACGGGAGGCAGGAGUGGGGAAUAUUGCACAAUGGGCGGAAGCAAGAUGCAGCAACGCCGCGUGCGGGAUGACGGCCUUCGGGUUGUAAACCGCUUUCGACUGUGACGAAGCGUGAGUGACGGUAAUGGGUAAAGAAGCACCGGCUAACUACGUG